rnacentral:rRNA from 1 species
GAGGGGCUCGCGGCCUAUCAGCUAGUUGGCGGGGUAACGGCCCACCAAGGCUAUGACGGGUAGCUGGUCUGAGAGGACGACCAGCCACACGGGGACUGAGACACGGCCCCGACUCCUACGAAAGGCAGCAGUGGGGAAUUUUCCGCAAUAAGCGAAAGCCUGACGGAGUGACGCCGCGUGUGGGACGAAGGCCUUCGGGUCGUAAACCACUGUCAGUGGGAAAGAUGGGUGUCGGCGCUAAUACCGCCGGCAUCUGACGGUACCUGCAGAGGAAGCCCCGGCCAACUCUGUGCCAGCAGCCGCGGUAAGACAGAGGGGGCAAGCGUUGCUCGGAAUUACUGGGCGUAAAGGGCGCGUAGGCGGGAUGGCAAGUCGGUCGUGAAAUCCCUCGGCUCAACUGAGGAAUGUCGAUCGAUACUGCUGUUCUUGAGGAUUGCAGAGGAGACUGGAAUUCCCGAUGUAGCGGUGAAAUGUGUAGAGAUCGGGAGG